rnacentral:lncRNA from 1 species
UCUAAGGCAGGAGUCACUUUUGGGAAAAUCACUACAAAGCAAGGUAUGGAGGAUUAUGUGUGCUGGACCUCGAUCAAAACACUACUAAGCACCGUCAUCGUUCGGACUAAGAAUUUGCGUCACAUCCGAGCUGUCGCUGUAUAGUAAGUUCGGUAGAGCGACCGGCAUAACAGUCGGUUGCGAUCCUGAGGUAUGAUAAUUUGUACGUCGAAGUUUUUUUUGAUAACCCCCACCCAUGCCUGGAACAAGACAUCUACGGUAUGAAGGCAUGCUACCAACUAAGCCUAAGAAGCAUGGUUGAGUCAGUCACAUACCUACUGACACGACAGUUGACGCGUCGAGGUAUGCGCCGAGUUAUGCUAUAUAAGGGGAACCUCUAUUCUAAAAAAUGUAUGCACUUUCAGCUAAUAAAGGACAUCUACUCUCUCUCUAAAUACAUUCUCCGAUCUUCUAACUUGAUAUUGGAAAACUAUUUUUCGAAAAUAGUUC